rnacentral:misc_RNA from 1 species
GAGGUCAAACUUGGGGCAGUCACUGAUGUCAGAAACGCUGAUUACACGAGUUCUCACAAGCUGUCGAAUAACAAACUCAUAGUCUUCAGCAGCUUUCUCUGCUGAGACCGUGUCGUUAAUGGAAUGUACAUGGCUUGGAACAAUAGGCACCUUGGACAAAAGUCCAUCCUUGGCAAGCUUGUAAUUACUGUCAGCAUGAUUUUUCGCCACCACACGUUCGUCCACCCAAAAUAUA